rnacentral:rRNA from 1 species
GAUGAACGCUAGCGGGAGGCUUAACACAUGCAAGUCGAGCGGCAAGGUCUUCGGACCCUAGAGCGGCGCACGGGUGAGUAACGCGUAUGCAACCUGCCUUUUACAGGGGGAUAGCCCGGAGAAAUCCGGAUUAAUACCCCAUGGUACUAUAAAGCCGCAUGGUUUAAUAGUUAAAGAUUUAUCGGUAGAAGAUGGGCAUGCGUGACAUUAGUUAGUUGGCGGGGUAACGGCCCACCAAGACUACGAUGUCUAGGGGUUCUGAGAGGAUGAUCCCCCACACUGGUACUGAGACACGGACCAGACUCCUACGGGAGGCAGCAGUGAGGAAUAUUGGUCAAUGGGCGCAAGCCUGAACCAGCCAUCCCGCGUGAAGGAUGAAUGUACUAUGUAUUGUAAACUUCUUUUCUGCAAAGAGAAAGGGCGCUACGUGUAGCGUUUUGACGGUAUUGCAGGAAUAAGCAUCGGCUAACUCCGUG